UAGGGAAUCUUCGGCAAUGGACGAAAGUCUGACCGAGCAACGCCGCGUGAGUGAAGAAGGUUUUCGGAUCGUAAAACUCUGUUGUUAGAGAAGAACAAGGACGUUAGUAACUGAACGUCCCCUGACGGUAUCUAACCAGAAAGCCACGGCUAACUACGUGCCAGCAGCCGCGGUAAUACGUAGGUGGCAAGCGUUGUCCGGAUUUAUUGGGCGUAAAGCGAGCGCAGGCGGUUUCUUAAGUCUGAUGUGAAAGCCCCCGGCUCAACCGGGGAGGGUCAUUGGAAACUGGGAGACUUGAGUGCAGAAGAGGAGAGUGGAAUUCCAUGUGUAGCGGUGAAAUGCGUAGAUAUAUGGAGGAACACCAGUGGCGAAGGCGGCUCUCUGGUCUGUAACUGACGCUGAGGCUCGAAAGCGUGGGGAGCAAACAG
rnacentral:rRNA from 3 species